UACGUAGGGGGCGAGCGUUGUCCGAAUUUACUGGGCGUAAAGGGCGCGUAGGCGGUGAAUUAAGUUGGUGGUGAAAGUCCAAGGCUCAACCUUGGAAUUGCUUCCAAUACUGGUUGACUUGAGGCAUGAAUGGGGAAGUAGAAUUCCGGGUGUAGCGGUGAAAUGCGUAGAUAUUCGGAGGAAUACCGGUGGCGAAGGCGGCUUCCUGGUCAUGUCCUGACGCUGAGGUGCGAAAGCUAGGGUAG
rnacentral:rRNA from 1 species